AGAGUUUGAUCAUGGCUCAGAUUGAACGCUGGCGGCAGGCCUAACACAUGCAAGUCGAACGGUAGCACAGAGAGCUUGCUCUCGGGUGACGAGUGGCGGACGGGUGAGUAAUGUCUGGGAAACUGCCUGAUGGAGGGGGAUAACUACUGGAAACGGUAGCUAAUACCGCAUAAUGUCGCAAGACCAAAGAGGGGGACCUUCGGGCCUCUUGCCAUCAGAUGUGCCCAGAUGGGAUUAGCUAGUAGGUGGGGUAAUGGCUCACCUAGGCGACGAUCCCUAGCUGGUCUGAGAGGAUGACCAGCCACACUGGAACUGAGACACGGUCCAGACUCCUACGGGAGGCAGCAGUGGGGAAUAUUGCACAAUGGGCGCAAGCCUGAUGCAGCCAUGCCGCGUGUAUGAAGAAGGCCUUCGGGUUGUAAAGUACUUUCAGCGAGGAGGAAGGCAUUAAGGUUAAUAACCUUGGUGAUUGACGUUACUCGCAGAAGAAGCACCGGCUAACUCCGUGCCAGCAGCCGCGGUAAUACGGAGGGUGCAAGCGCUAAUCGGAAUUACUGGGCGUAAAGCGCACGCAGGCGGUCUGUCAAGCCGGAUGUGAAAUCCCCGGGCUCAACCUGGGAACUGCAUUCGAAACUGGCAGGCUAGAGUCUUGUAGAGGGGGGUAGAAUUCCAGGUGUAGCGGUGAAAUGCGUAGAGAUCUGGAGGAAUACCGGUGGCGAAGGCGGCCCCCUGGACAAAGACUGACGCUCAGGUGCGAAAGCGUGGGGAGCAAACAGGAUUAGAUACCCUGGUAGUCCACGCCGUAAACGAUGUCGACUUGGAGGUUGUUCCCUUGAGGAGUGCUUCCGGAGCUAACGCGUUAAGUCGACCGCCUGGGGAGUACGGCCGCAAGGUUAAAACUCAAAUGAAUUGACGGGGGCCCGCACAAGCGGUGGAGC
rnacentral:rRNA from 1 species